CUCGUGCAGCGCAGGUGUGCAUUUUUUGGACCUAUCAAUCAAUUAAAUGAGCACCUGAAGUGUGUUCGUCAGACAUGGCAUGUUUUAGCUCAUUGGGAAACUGAUACGACAUAUAUUUUGGACUGGAUAUAUGGGGUCUAGCUUUGCAAUUUUCGUUACAUCAGAUUCAGUAAGGGUACAUACACAUUUCAAGGCUUCACUUUUUGUUCAAGGCAUCAAGUUUCCUAUCCCUUUUGCAUUGGUGUUUUUGGUGCCUAAGAAAUUUAGAUGGUUGACCUUGAAGCACAGUACUCUUUUGCCGAAACGGUUUGCUGGUUCAUGCGUAAUUUAUCCUCCCAUGCUCUUGCAUUUUUUGAUACAUGUAUAACUGCCUAACAUUUUCUUUGAUUGUUCUUUUUCUCCAGGUUCCACUCUCUGGUCGAAGAAUUUUAUUUUCUGUUCCUUCUUAUGUUCGAGUUUUUUGGUGCCUAGAAUGUUUAGUUGACUGACCCUGAAGUGGAUGGUCUUCAUCCUAGAUCAGUGACGGAUUGACCUUGGCACAUCACAAUGAAGUGUUUCCUACCCAUACACCAUCCCCAUAGCGUGGUUCCACACAGUUAUCUGGAACUAAAUGUGAGUGAAACGAGAGACAGCGUUCGCACCCUGCCUGAUAAGAUGAAAACCAAAUGCCGACGGCUUGAUGUGGCUAUAAAUGCUGAUACAGUCCUAUAUGAUGUGUUUUCUACCUAGAUGCUUAUGUGGAACAAGGGUAUAAUCAGGGAAUUAACUUCAAAUGACUGUAAAUAGCAUCUGCAAAUUUCAGUGCUUAAGUUACCUUCAGAAGUUGGUGCAAUUGUGAAAUUAUUUUAUUUAGUAUAAAUCGUUUUGUUGCUA